UGAGAGUCUCACAAGAUCAUCUUUCUUCAGUAGCAGACUAACAGUUGAAUCUGCCUAGACUUCUGGUCAAUUACUGAUCUGUUGGACUGCUCCUGCUCCUGUCCCAGUUUAAAGCUUCAUGAUUAUGUAAAAAAUCUUUUCUCCAAGUCUACUGUUGGCUUUUGACACCGCUGACCAUUGCCCUGAUACUCA